rnacentral:rRNA from 1 species
AGAGUUUGAUUCUGGCUCAGAUUGAACGCUGGCGGCGUGCUUAACACAUGCAAGUCGAACGUGAAAGUCCUUCGGGAUGAGUAAAGUGGCGCACGGGUGAGUAACGCGUGGAUAAUCUACCCUUAAGAUGGGGAUAACGGCUGGAAACGGUCGCUAAUACCGAAUACGCUCCCGAUUUUAUCAUUAGGGGGAAAGAUGGCCUCUGCUUGCAAGCUAUCGCUUAAGGAUGAGUCCGCGUCCCAUUAGCUCGUUGGCGGGGUAACGGCCCACCAAGGCGACGAUGGGUAGCCGGUCUGAGAGGAUGACCGGCCACACUGGAACUGGAACACGGUCCAGACUCCUACGGGAGGCAGCAGUGGGGAAUAUUGCGCAAUGGGCGAAAGCCUGACGCAGCGACGCCGCGUGAGGGAUGAAGGUUCUCGGAUCGUAAACCUCUGUCAGGGGGGAAGAAACCCCCUCGUGUGAAUAAUGCGAGGGCUUGACGGUACCCCCAAAGGAAGCACCGGCUAACUCCGUGCCAGCAGCCGCGGUAAUACGGAGGGUGCAAGCGUUAAUCGGAAUCACUGGGCGUAAAGCGCACGUAGGCGGCCCGGUAAGUCAGGGGUGAAAUCCCACAGCCCAACUGUGGAACUGCCCUUGAUACUGCCGGGCUUGAGUACCGGAGAGGGUGGCGGAAUUCCAGGUGUAGGAGUGAAAUCCGUAGAUAUCUGGAGGAACACCGGUGGCGAAGGCGGCCACCUGGACGGUAACUGACGCUGAGGUGCGAAAGCGUGGGUAGCAAACAGGAUUAGAUACCCUGGUAGUCCACGCCGUAAACGAUGGGUGCUGGGUGCUGGGAUGUAUGUCUCGGUGCCGUAGCUAACGCGAUAAGCACCCCGCCUGGGGAGUACGGUCGCAAGGCUGAAACUCAAAGAAAUUGACGGGGGCCCGCACAAGCGG